GACGAACGCUGGCGGCGUGCUUAACACAUGCAAGUCGAACGGAAAGGCCCUGCUUUUGUGGGGUGCUCGAGUGGCGAACGGGUGAGUAACACGUGAGUAACCUGCCCUUGACAUUGGGAUAACUCCAGGAAACUGGGGCGAAUACCGGAUAGGAGCUCCUGCUGCAUGGUGGGGGUUGGAGAGUUUCGGCGGUUUGGGAUGGACUCGCGGCUUAUCAGCUUGUUGGUGGGGUAGUGGCGUACCAAGGCUUUGACGGGUAGCCGGCCUGGGAGGGUGACCGGCCACCUUGGGCCUGAGAGACGGCCCAGACUCCUACGGGAGGCAGCAGUGGGGAAUCUUGCACAAUGGGCGGAAGCCUGAUGCAGCAACGCCGCGUGCGGGAUGACGGCCUUCGGGUUGUAAACCGCUUUCGCCUGUGACGAAGCGUGCGUGACGGUAAUGGGUAAAGAAGCACCGGCUAACUACGUG
rnacentral:rRNA from 1 species